GCUAACGAGGUCGCAGAUUAUAUGAAUGUUUAUGUGGCUACCUACUCCGAAGGUACCUUGUGAUUGGGCAGGUGUGGCAUUUGUGAUUAGAGACCAUAGCGUCAGGCUGAUUGCUGUGGAGGGCUGUCGUUCCGUUGAGGCCUCGGCAUUUGGGGCGGAGCUCAGGGCUGCAUGGGAGGGGCUAUCCUAUGCGAGACAUGUAUUGGAGGCUAACAGGAUCAUUCUGUAGGGGGAUUCAUCCGUCUUGAUCGAUCGUCUUCAGGUGGCGAGAUGGGAGGGGGUAGAGCACCCGCUUUUGUGCGACAUGCAACGGAUGCUACGGGAGUGUCGGGCCACUCAGGUUAGGCAUGUCCUUCGGGAGGCAAAUCAAGCUGCUGAUUGGGUCGUCUCCUUCACUGCUCAGCAUUUCGGAGAGUUUUUGUGGACCCAGCAUUCCUUAGUUUCUAUUGCUUUCUGUAGUCUUUUUGAUAGUGAUGCAAUUGGUUGUGCUCAAAUGAGAUCA
rnacentral:lncRNA from 1 species